rnacentral:rRNA from 1 species
GCCAGACUCCUACGGGAGGCAGCAGUGGGGAAUAUUGGGCAAUGGGCGCAAGCCUGACCCAGCAACGCCGCGUGAAGGAAGAAGGCUUUCGGGUUGUAAACUUCUUUUAAGAGGGAAGAGAAGAAGACGGUACCUCUUGAAUAAGCCACGGCUAACUACGUGCCAGCAGCCGCGGUAAUACGUAGGUGGCAAGCGUUGUCCGGAUUUACUGGGUGUAAAGGGCGUGCAGCCGGGAAGACAAGUCAGAUGUGAAAACCAUGGGCUCAACCUGUGGCCUGCAUUUGAAACUGUUUUUCUUGAGUACUGGAGAGGCAGACGGAAUUCCUAGUGUAGCGGUGAAAUGCGUAGAUAUUAGGAGGAACACCAGUGGCGAAGGCGGUCUGCUGGACAGCAACUGACGCUGAGGCGCGAAAGCGUGGGGAGCAAACAGGAUUAGAUACCCGCGUAUU